CACCGUUACAGUCACAGUUUCGUAUCUCAAGAUUUGUCCCAUAUAUGGUGAAAUUGUGUCCAUAUAAGGCAAAUGUUUUCGUCUAGGAAAAAAAUAAUGGCGCGACAGCUGCAGCAGAAUGUAAAGGCAGUUCUGGCUCGGAUUUUAAACGUUCCUGCUGAAAAAACUGAAUAUUAUGGGAGUCACAAGGAAUGCUAACUAUAUACAACAGGAUCUUGGGAAGAAAUGACAUUUGCGAUGUGAAUAAUGAGACAUGAAAUGGAUCUACGAAAAGAUUGGCAUACAAAUUUAGCAGCACAUUCUAUGGUCAUAGAGGAAGACAAUAUGUUACCUUAGUUAUAUAUAUUUUUUUCAUUUGUUAUAUAUCUUAUACUCAGUAGCAGCAUGAACACUGAAUAUGAAAAAGCUAGACACGAAACUUAUAAAAACUUAAAUUAAUCUUUGUUCCAAUGCAGUCAAGCAUGUAUAUAUGUAAACCAAAAACAUAUUUGCUUUAUUUUAUGUAUAUAAAAUAGUUUUAUUGAAAGCACUUCUUUUCUAUUCCUAAGGCAGAUUUUCAAAUAGAAUUUAUUAAGUAUUUAAACACAUUGAAGUCAGUAAGAAGUCUGUGUUAAAUAUCAAGAGCUUUGUUAGCUGAACUUUGACAUUAUAUAUAGAAAAAGUUAUUAACACCUUUUACACCUACACACACUACAUAUCUUGGUAAAGUCGUAACGAUGUUAGCUCCUUGGUGUGAACAAGGCGAUAAGAUCAGUGACAAUAACAAUUUCAUGACAGUUAGAUAUUAUGUCAACAAAAUUAUGAAACAAACAAUGAUAGAAGCUCCAGUACAGUAAUUGUAUUAUAAUAUACGUGGAUAUUUUUUACUUUUGUAAAUAUUCAGGCUUCUAUAUAAAAUCACGCACCAUAUUUAAUAAUAGAUUUUAGGCUUAGCACUUUUGUAACCUGAUAAUGUUACUUUAUAUCGUUUUGCACAA